CCUGCUGCUGGGUCCGCCUGUAGCAGG
rfam:Candidatus Sodalis pierantonius str. SOPE, complete genome.